CGGAAAACAAUAACUAUAUUGAUCAAAUCAGGUCUAUGUCUCAACUGUACAAGCCAAUAAUUAUCCAAUCACUUGCACGCAAUGGCAUCCUGAGAAAGCCAUUUUUGAGUGGAGGAAACCAAUGAUCCCACACAGCGAAGAUGCAAUACAGGUUACUCAACAUUUUGCCAAUCAUUUUAUCAGCCAAGCACACAAGUCUCCA